rnacentral:lncRNA from 1 species
CUUUUUCUUUUUUUUUUGGUCUUUUUGUCUUUUUAGGGCUGUACCCGCAGCAUAUGGAGGUUCCCAGGCUAGGGGUCAAAUUGGAACUAUAGCCCUGGCCUAUGCCACAGCCACAGCAAUGCUGGAUCAGAGCUGUGUCUGUGACUUACACCAUAGCUCACGGCAACACUGGAUCCUUAACCCACUGAGCAAGGCCAGGGAUUGAACCCGAAUACUCAUGGUUGCUGGUUGGGUUCGUUAACCACUGAGCCAUGAUGAGAACUCUGCUCCUUUCUUUCAGUGGAGGCAGCUCACGGGACAAAAGAAUGAGGCCCCAUUGCAGGUGAAGGUGGCUUCUAAGGGGCUUGACUCCUCUACAUUGCCCUCAUGCCAGCUGGGAGCUCAGGGGCUGCAUUAAGCAACAAGGAAGAACCAUGGAUGGCCAGUCUACCAGGGGAGGGCUCCUGAGAAGGUAAAUCUUUGAGUUCACACAGAAAACUCCAAGCAGAAUGAUUUGGGUUUUUCAAAAGGAAGCCAGACAAAGAGCUUAGAUGUGGACCCAGAGAUCACAAGCAAAUAGGAAAUUUGCAUCCAGUUCUGAGGAAACCUAGUAGUUGGACUUAAAUGAUAUUUAGUACUUUAACCCACUCCCAUUGCUCAACACAUAGGUUCUUCCAACUUCCCUUCGGCCUCUCAUUUUCCAACAUGCAACAAAAGAACAUGACCUUCUCAGAGGUGGUGCCAUCCCUUAGCUCUUUCCAGCUAAGUCCCCACCCCAGCCCGUAUCUCAACUGAACAGGUAUCCAGAGCAUGCAUGUCACCUCUGCUUCCCCUGUUCCCCUUCCUUGCUCCUUGGGGAUGCUACUUGUAUACUUUCUCAUCCAUGUGCUUCUUGAGCCUCUGGAGCUACUUAAAUAAACUCAUCCAUGCCCAUGAACAUGGACUAGGCCACGGGGCCUCUCUUUGUUGGUCUUCCUGGGACAAUGACCCCUCUGUUGUGAGACAAGAGCAGAGACUCUGAGUAGAGUGCAGGGUCUCUGAGAGGAAAGAACAGUAGUUGUAGAUGUGGUGCGGGUGAGCUCCAGUUACCCUUCAGCUCUCAGUUUUGUUGCUGCUCACAUCCAAUUAAACUGGACUUGGCAUGGCCUCAGCUUAGAUAGCAGGUGUUUUUGUGCCUACCACAAUCACAGUACUUCUGGCAGGUGGACCAAUGAUUUAAAAAAGGCACCCACUCAGGCAGCCCAGUUGGAAAAUGCACCCCUUCUAGAGCUGGCUCUGUUCUGCCCACCUGCUUGGCUUGCAGAA